GCAAGCCGUCGGCGCCCUCUCGGGCCGCGCAUCGCACGCACACGCUCCUCCCGGCCCCGCCAUGUUCCGAGGCGGCGGCGGCAGCCCAGUACCGUGAGCGAGGACUGGUGGCAUGUGAAGCCCAACUGAGGCCCCGCCCCGCGUGGCACCCCUAACCCAAGGGCAGCUGCCAGCUGCGCUGCGGCCCCUCGCCCCUCCUAGAGGGGAGGGGGCGGGCCGGUCGGAUCCGCGCCGGGGCCACUAACGGCUUGUCACCGUAAGCACAGCGACUUCACGGGUCAGGCUAGGAGGCGCAGAGACGAACGAGGGUAGCGUCACCCAGGGAUUGGCUGCGGCGUGGCCACCUGACUCCGGGGACACGGGACACGCGGCGUGACCGCCCCGCCCCUUCCGCCGGCCCCUCCCCGCUACCCCGCCUCUCUUUCAGCUCGACCCCAGCCAGGGGGCGGGGAAUUCGGAAGUUGUCGCUGCUUCACCUCCGGUGUCACCAGCCCCAGACGGACGGAGGAAUCGGAGCAAGGAAGCAGCGCAGGCGUCGCUGACGCUGCUCGGCCAGCUGCAUCUGCAGUAGCUUUUUGUGGCGACCAGGUCAAUGGAUAGGACUUCAAACUUCUGGAAAUGGCGGCGUCGAAGAAAAAUAGACUAUGUAUGGGCUAUUCACGUUAUUUUUACAGGGACAGAUGGGGGAGUUUAUAGGCUCGAUGCUGCGACUUCGGUUUGAGGCAUACGAGGGGUGUCUACCGCUAAACUCGUGGCUACUACCUACGGCUGGCUUUGGCUUCGGUGGGUCUGUAGAGACGGGAUCCACACACCGCCCUUACCGGAACCAAAAUGCGCCUGCGCCGCAUCACCUGUACGGAAGUCCUAUACGUCAGGCCCCGACGCCUGUUGGUGGCUCAGCUGGCGGGCUUCUGGCGCACUUUCACCUGCGCUAGGUGGGUGUGCAAAGGCGUCCCGAAAGAACUGGAACGUGUUCUUGGGGCAAGGACACCACAGACUCCGUAAUACGCUCUCAUUCACAUCUUCCGAUGACAUUUUAAUAUAAAUUUAAGUGCAUUUUUCUACAUCCAAGUUGGUUUUUCAGAGAGAAUUUAGCAAGUACCAAAGAGUGCGUAAAGAAAUUUUCCAUCUCCCAGCAGCGGCUCCUGACUUCCUUUUGAAUACUUGUUAUUUACAUUGAGGUUAUUAUGUUACAAUUUGUACAUGUUUUCAUUUAAUAUCAAAGGAGUUACAUAAUUGGAGGGAAACCAUUUUAUCCUAACUUCCUUCUGGACACUUUAUUUACAUCGAGGUUUAAUUCUCGAAAAUUUGUGCAUGUCUUAUUUUAACCACCAAAGGGAUUAUAAUUGGAAUGAAACCACUUUCCUCAUCAUUAUAAUGGCCUCUACGCAGCAGCACCCACUUGUGACUUAAUGAGUACAGUUACAAAUUUGUUACCACAGGUGAUGUAACAUCUCAAACUUGACAGAGAAAGCUAAAUCCCAACAAGUUACUAUAUUAAAACAUAAACCUGCAUUAAAUAACAGUAUUUUUUUCGUUUCCUAGUUCCCUAUUUUCCUACUCUAAAACAUAGGUCCAAAAUAAUGCUGAGAGCAACUUGUAGCCACAGGUGAAAAACUAUUAAAUUUGAUUUGGAUACUUAUGGCACAACAUACAAAGAAAAAAACAAUUACUAAAAAUUUUACUCUGCUUAAAUCAUUGAGUUUCUCAUUUAAGUAACUGUCAAUAGAAGUUGACUAGUAUGGAUGGCAAUGGCAAUACUAUUUGUAUAGUACUAAGUACCUAACUCCAAAAUUGAAAGGUAGCUAAUCUUGAAUUUGUUGAAUGAAUUAUGGUUUAUGGCAAUAGCUAUAUGUUCAACUUUAAUACAUGAAAGACUCAUAGGCAACCAUGAUCCAAGGUAUUGUAUUGACUACACUCAACAGGAAACUACCUAUAAGUGUUAUUUGUAGAAAUCAAAUUGCAAAAAAAUUUCAUGAAGCUCACAUUAAGAUUAUAUGUGGCAAGUUAUAAAUCAGCAAUUAUUUGUUAUUUGAAAGGUCCAAAAGAAACAUCAAAGCAAAUUUUCUUUGCAAUGUGAAACCAGAUACAUAAAUCAGUAAAUUCUUAUUAGAGAUAUUAUGGAUAGAGGUCUCAAAAGCCUGAAGAAAGCUAGUUUAUAUCCACAAGCAAGUUGAUUAGGAAGCUGCUGACACGGCUUUUAAUUGUAUAGCCUGGUCUUCCACUAGUUCAAGUCUCAGAAUCCAUCCUCAGCAAGUGGAUAAAAUGUCUGUCUUCCUAGCACUACCAGGAGGUCAAGGAUCCCAAGCAUUAAUUAUCAUUCUUAGCCUAAGUUAAAUUUCACCACAUUUAUUUAGGGUUAUUACUAGAAGACACUUAAAAUGUGUGUAUUUGAUAUCUGAGCUAGAACCCAUUAGGCAAAAUUUACUCUCCAUCUUAGAUAUUCACACCUUUAGAAUCAACAACUCAUGUUUUAC